AACGAACGCUGGCGGCAUGCCUAACACAUGCAAGUCGAACGAGACCUUCGGGUCUAGUGGCGCACGGGUGCGUAACGCGUGGGAACCUGCCCUUAGGUUCGGAAUAACUCCCCGAAAGGGGUGCUAAUACCGGAUAAUGUCUUCGGACCAAAGAUUUAUCGCCUUUGGAUGGGCCCGCGUUGGAUUAGCUAGUUGGUAGGGUAAAAGCCUACCAAGGCGACGAUCCAUAGCUGGUCUGAGAGGAUGAUCAGCCACACUGGGACUGAGACACGGCCCAGACUCCUACGGGAGGCAGCAGUGGGGAAUAUUGGACAAUGGGCGAAAGCCUGAUCCAGCAAUGCCGCGGGAGUGAUGAAGGCCUUAGGGUUGUAAAGCUCUUUUACCCGGGAUGAUAAUGACAGGACCGGGAGAAUAAGCUCCGGCGAACUCCGU
rnacentral:rRNA from 1 species